AUGUAUUGCUUGGGGGAGCGGUGGUGGCCUGCACCGGUGGAGACGCCGUGCUGCGGUUGCCCCGCGCCCUCUUCCAAUUUCAAACCCCUGUGAACCUUUGGGAAAGGCGGCUGUAGUGGCUGCCCGCCCCGUUUUAACAACUCUGAUGUCUAUUUGAAUGUGCGAAUCGGGGCAGCCCCGAUGUCGAAUUUGAAA
rnacentral:misc_RNA from 1 species